GUGUUCUAGGAAUGUGAGAGACGGUUGGCAUCUCCCCUGACAGGGUUGAGAACAGCCUGCAGGCUUACCUGUCACUAGUGUCAAGGCUCUUAACUUCUUAGCAAUUUGUGGGGUUUUAU